ensembl:lncRNA
UGGCGAGGAUCCUCUGCCUGGUUCUCAAACCCUCUCCACUUAUAAGGGCUCUGAUCCCAACCUGAGGGCUCCGCCCUCAUGACCUAGUGGAGCCCUAAUCACCUUCCAAAGGCCCCACCUCCAGAUACCAUCCCCCUGGGGAGUAGAGUUUCAACACAUGAAAUUUGGGAGGACACAAACAUUCAGUCCACGACAACGAGACGAGUCAGGAGAGGAGGAGCGAGGACUGAGGGAGCUUGCAGGAGCAUUCUAAUCCACAGAAACCAGGAUUUACUAGGAGAAUUCUAAGUAAGACAUACUUUCAGAGGAAGAACUGAAGAGCCACAGCGGGAACUGGGACAUCUCCAAGGAUCUUGGGAUUUAGGGACAACUCAGGCCACCAGGUGACUCGGCUCCAGUCACCUUCCAACUCUGGGUAUCGCGGCUCAACAUUCAAAUUUCUAGAGAGUCUGAUUGGCCUAGCUUCCGUCUGGUGCCCACCACCACGAUUGGGGUGAUUGGGGCCUCUGAGAGCCUUCUAGAACCACAUGGAGAGGGAGGGGCAGGAAAACAUUAUGUCCGCUAAGGUAGCGGCUAUGUCUUGUACACCUCACACUGCCUGACGCAGCAGGCGCUCAAGUUUUGUAGAGAAAAAGAACGUACGAAUGCAUGAACCUGCCUCCAAGAGGUCACGUCAUCUGCCCCAUCCAUGCCAGGCUUGUCCCAGGAUUCUAUUCUUCCAGAGACUGUGCACGGCCUUUCUCACGACCUGUCCCCCUGAGCAGGGGUAGGGUGUUGGACCCACUGGGUUAGCAGGGUCACGGGGCCUGGAGGGCAGGUCAGACGCAGAUCCACCAACCACCAGGAUAUGAAGACCAAGUCUUAGAUGCAAGAUCAACCCAGAGGAGCAGUACGAAUGUGUACUCCGCCAGAUUCUGCGCUCUGAGAUGCUCUCAGUAGUGGGUUUCCUGAGCACGAGUAGAUCUAUGAUCGCUGACUUUGCCUGCAACCUUCCAGCAAGAUGGCUCAUGCAAGCUUGGAGGGCAUGGGACCUCAGAAGUCACCUAGUGCCACCCCUUACUUUUUCAGAGCGGGGAACUGAGAUCUGGGGAGGUGUGGUGUUUUGCUCAAGAUCACAGCGUAUUCACAACAGGUCUCUUUGACCACAUGCUGUUCAGCGCUCUUUCUACCGUGCACUAGUGCCCUCUGUGCUGGCGGUGGGAUGCUGGGGACCCUGACCUUGAGCUUUUCCUUAGUGAUCUAGAUGUUAACUGACUUAUUCCCUCUGGGGGCCACUUUAUUCCACUCCUGUUUGGGGGUCAGUUGGCUGCAGACCCAGUCUAGGAUGGUUUUGGCUGGGACAACUGGGCUCUCCUCCACAAUGUCUCUUGUGAUCCAGCAGACCAUCCUGGGUUUGUCCUCAUGGUGGAGGAAGGGGUUAAGAGGGACAGCAGAAGCACUCGGGCCUCUGUUACAUUCUAAUGGCCAAAGCCAAUCAUAAGACCAGCUCAGAUUCAAGAGGCAGGGAAAUAGAUCCUACCUCUUAAUUGGAGGAGUCGUGUAUAUUUGCAAAACUCAUUGCAAAGUAUUAUUCAAAAUCACCAAAAAGUGGAAGCAACCCAAAUGUCUACCAUCUGACAAAUGAAUAGACAAAAUGCAGUAUUUCCAUCCAGUGUAAUAUUAUUGGCCACAAAAAGGAAUGGAGCACAGAUAUAUGCUACAACAUGUAUGAAUCUUGAAAACAUUAUGGUAAAUAAAACCAAGACACAAAAGAUGACAUAUUGUACAAUUCCACUUAUAUGUAAAGUCCAGAAUCUAUAGGGAUCCGUAGGCAAAACCAUAGGGACAGAAAGUAGAUUAGUGGUUUCCAGGGCCUGGGGAGAGGUGAGGACGGGGUUUCUUUUUAGGGGUGAUGAAAAUGUUCCAAAAUUAGUGGUGAUGGGUGCAUAAAUCUGUGAAUACGCUAGCAAUCACCGAAUUGAAUAAUUUAAAAGGUUGAAGUUUAUGUUAUAUGAAUUAUAUUUUAAUAAAGCUAUUACUUAAAAAGUAAACAAGUGAAAAAAAAACUUAUUGCAAAAUAAAUCUACCAAAAUAAGAAAACGUCUUUUUGGAAAGUGUAAAUCAAGGCAAUAAAAUUUUGAAACUUCAUCUCAUAUAUAGAAAUAUCUUGAUAAUUUACCUAGAAGUGAAAUUUAAGAUUUUAAAGAUAUUUAAUGGUUUUUGUUGUCCUCAUGGAACAAUAGUUGAAGUAACAUAUUGAGCUUUAUUGCUGGCGCUCAAGAAAAAUGAUCCCGCUGAGAAUUUACAAGCAAACACUGCUGAUUUUGUAUAGUGUUUUGCUAGCGUAUCUGCGUGUUGCUAGUGAGAAAGUCUAAGUUCUGGCCAAACUUUAGAAGAUUUUCUGCGUGUUUUAGUUUGAUACUUAGUGGGUAUAUUAAAUUUUCUGUGAAUGAUGCAAUAAAAGAUGUAACUCAAAUCACUUAAAAUCUCUUCUUGAAAAAGCAUUCUACUUACUAUCACAUCAAAUAAACGUCAGAGAAAAUUCGUGUAUCUUACAGAGAACCUAAAAAUGGAAAAUUAGAAGAAUAUUUGCAUCUCAAUGGGUGAGCUCUGAGGCACUAGAGCUGCAAAGGUAGUUUGACAAUUGAAUUGAGUCUUCAAUAUUAUCUUUAAUAGAAAUUAUAAAAUAGGAGUGGUUGACAUUUGGAAAAAGAAAACACUUAAACAGCUUUGGGUUUAAUAAAUGAUAUUCCAGCCAAGAUGUCAGGACUUUCUUUCGUUCUACAAGAAGCGUGUCGGCUAUUGAAGCU